rnacentral:rRNA from 1 species
GCCAGCAGCCAUAUCACACUGCAAACAGCUGGUAGCCCACUGAAGCUCAGCAGGUGUGAGCCUGGCCAGUACCUGGAUGGGAGACCUCCUGGGAAAGCAAAGGCUGCUGCUGGAA